UAGUAUAUCCGUUUCACAGUUUUUCCUCUGUUGAAUUCUUGCACUAGCUUUCAUAUGGGCCAUAUUAAGUUACAUGUGGGUGGGUGCCGUAACAGUGCAGCAACCAUUCUGCUAGCUUGUGCAAGAGUUUAAAAGUGGUGAAACUUU
rnacentral:pre_miRNA from 1 species